ACUGACGACACUGCCCUACCACCAAGGGACCAACCAAACCACAAUAUCAAUAUCAAUAUUGUAAAGUUUUGUUUGAAAUUUAUUAAAAAUUAAAAAUUAAAAAUACCAGAGGAUCUGUGACAACAGUGAUCAGAGUCCAGAGAGCAUUUUAAUUUGUCUUUUACAUUUGAGAUAAAAGGACAAGAAGCAAAUGCACAUGAACGAUGAAUUAAUUUGAUGGAGACAUUUAAUUGGCAGCAAGUAAUUUAGACAUGGCCAUUCAUCUUCCUGUCUUCCUGACUUCCUUCUCAUUGUUCCCGAAUCCCAAAGUUAUCAGUCUAUCAGAUGAUGUGUGAAUGAAUAUAUUUGGGUGCACGAGAAAGAAACGGCAGAGCAGAUACUGAGCAGAAAAUCAUGUCUCGUCUCUUCUACUCAUUAGAAGAAGAAAAAAAG
rnacentral:lncRNA from 1 species